rnacentral:lncRNA from 1 species
CCCACGGUGCCCCAUCAUCCUGCCUCAUUUUCCUCCCAGCACUUAAUCUUCUCUGAAAUAACCAUAUUCUUUGAUUGCUUUUGGUCCUGUGUUUUCCCAACACCGAGAAAGGCUCUCACAAUCUCUAGAUUUGCACAAAGGUGGGGCUUUCUCUGUUUUUAUUUGAUUUUUUGUUGUUUUAUUUUUUAAGUUUUGUUUUCUUUUUUGACUCCGCAAGGGUCUGGGCAGUGCCUGGCCCACAGUAGACUCCUAAGAAGUGUUCACUGAGGGGCAAUUAGGAGGUGCUUAGUGGCUGCACCAGACCUUCAGCAUCCUAGACCCCUGGCUCUGACACUUACUGCUUAAGAAUCACCAGGGCCACUUACUGAAAAUGUACAAUCCUGAGAGCCGGACUUACUAAGUCUGGGUUUGGACUUGGAAACAUGCAUUUUUAACAAGAUCUCCACUGGGUUCUGAUGCCAGUGUCCUGGAGGGGGCCACACUUCAUGAUAAGCUAUCAUCCCAACCCACUCAGGGAAUGGCAUGGAGUCCAGAAUUGCUAUUGGAACACUGCCCUCCUCGGAGGCUCCUGCCUGCUGGAGGCGUGGUGGCCUGAUGAUUGGCAUCACUCCUGUAGCUUGAGGGUCCAGAGUGUGGACUCACAUGGCGCUUCAGACCCUUCUCUGAAGCCUGACUCUUUGGGGGCAGUGCUGCAGAUUGACAAAGGGUGUUUCUGCACAGGCCUGACUCACACAACACUGGAAUGGGCCGGGAAGGAGCCUCCCGGCCAGACGCCCACUUUGGUACCAGCCCUGGGUUAUGUAACUCCAGAUGCCUGUGACUAACCCAUGGCCCCGAGGGCAUCUCUGGGUGGGGAAAAGAUGAGGGCUGACUUCUCCAGAAUUUAAAACGAAACAUCUCAGGACUAUUUAUAAAAGCACAGGACACACUAGGGGGAAGUUCAGAUAAAGGCCGUGGAGGGGUGCAGACAAGGAAAGGGAACCAGGAGGUGUACUUGCAAACUUGACCUACUAAAGGCAUGGCUUCCAGAGCUCUGAGGACAGUUGACCUUCAAAACAACGAUUGACCUUGGGGAAAGGAUGAGUCACAGAGGCUCCAGGGCCUGGUUCCUGCUGGCAGAGCUUCCAGCCUCUGAGUCCCAGAGUGUUCUCUCCUAGGAGUGAAACAUGUACUUGGUAGAUGUCGGCUGCCUCCACCAAAUGCAAAAACGCAUCUCAUCCUGUGAGCUGACCUUGCUGGGGUGAGGUCUACUUCUUGGGGAAGACCCUGGGCUGCUAACUGGGUCUUGGCUGGUCCUAGGUUUGUGGCAACCAGUAGUCACUGGAUCCAUCGAUGAGAAUAAAUCUUGUUGGCAUGUGGAGACAAGGCCAGGUAGAAGCAGAAGUCAGAGGGCCAGGAGGCAGGUAGGCCCCUGUCUCUAUGUUAACUCAUGCCAAGCCAUAAUGGCAGCUCACGUUGAUGGAGCUGUCCAUGUGCCAGCCCCUGCCUGAAGUGCCCGCAAUCAUCUCUCGCUUUUCUUCGAUAACGGAGUGAGAGGGAAGAGCACGGGGCUGAGAAUCAGGGGGCCCAGAUGGAAGACCCACUCACCGCUAAAUUGUUGGGGGGCCUGGGAUGACUUAUUACAAUAUUAAUAAUGACCACAGCAAUGACUACAGCCCCAUUCAUUGAGCACUCGGCACUCAUCAUCUCAUUAAGCCUUGUCCUGCAAUGCCAGAGGCUUUGGAAUCAGAGCUGGAGUUUUGGAAUCAGACAGAGCUGGAGUUCAAGGAAGAGCUCUGACACUUAUGAGCUAGCAACCUUGAACGCAUCAUUUAACCUUUAGGGGCUCAAAAACAGCCAUUGUUUAUUCAUCUCACAAAUAUGCAGUCUGGGCAAGGCUUGGCAGGAACAGCUUAUGUCUGACUUUAUGUGGUGUCAGCUAGGGUGGCUUGCAGAAAAGCUAGCAACCAAAAUCCCCGAAGGCUCACUCACUCACAGAUGAUGCCGAUGCCAAUACCAAUGACGAUGGUGAUGCAGAUCAUGAUGCAGAUGGUGAUGCACGUGCUGAUGCAGGUGCUGAUGCUGAGGCAGGUGCUGAUGCAGAUAAUGAUGCAGAUGCUGAUGCAGGUGCUGGUGCUGAUGCUGAGGCAGAUAUGAUGCAGAUGCUGGUGCAAAUGCUGAAGCAGGUGUUGAUGCAGAUACUAAUCUGACGCAGCUGCUGAUGUUAAAGCAGGUGUUGAUGCUGAUGCAGGUACCGAUGCUGAAGCAGGUGUUGAUGCAGGUGCUGAAAAAGGUGUUGGUGCAGGUGCAGAUGCUGAUGCUGGUAGUAAUGCUGAUGCAGGCGCUGAUGCUGAUGCAGGAAUGAGUUUGAUUUGAGAAGCGGAUUCCUUCUCCCCGGGAAAGGCACAAAGUUUUCUUUCCAAGUGCAGGUUGAAACUAACUCCUGGUGAAGAAGCUCACGGCACCAUCCAGCAUGGCACCGUCUGGGAGUCGUUUUUGAUUAGAAGUUGACCUCAGAAAUAUGCUCACAUCAUUUUGAAAGCAUCUUCCAGCACCACAGAAAUCGACUCAGAUGGAGAAAGGACACUGAGUGGACAGGGGCCAGGAUGGGGCGUGGACGCUCUGCCUCUGCCGGGGACAAGGCCUUCCCACAGACUCCCUGGGGUGUUGCCAGCCUGAGUCAGAGAUAUUGAUGUAAUGCCUACCGUGUUCCAGACACGCUGCGAGGCCCUGGGGAUGCAGCCACAAUCCCAACAGAUCUGAUGCCUGCUCUCAUGGAACUGACUUUGCACUGGGGGGAGGCCAACUCCACGAAAACAGAAACUGGAUGACACAUUGGAGGGAGAGCAGUAAAAGGAGCAAGCAGAGAGCAAGAACAACAGUGUUGCCAUGGGGCGGGUGGGCCCGCUGUAGCCAGGGAGGGCCUCUCCGAAGGUAUAACAGGUAAGCUGAGCCCUGGAUGCUGAGAAGGACCAGCCUCAGGAGCAGGGCCCCUCUGCAGCAAUGCCUAGUACAGAGGCUUAGAGAAGACAUGGGCACGUGCACCAGGCAUCCCAUGGGCAGGGCUACCUGAGUUCCAUAUGUGUGUGGAGAGGUCCCGCAGGGCCUGGGUGCGUGACGAGGAUGAAUAAAGUGGGUGGAGGGUAAUGCCACAGUGAGGGGCAGAUGGUGGCCAGUUGACAACACGUGCCCCCAUCAAAGAGGUGGUUGCUACUCAGCUCUGACUCAUGGUCACCAAAAAGGAUGUGGGGCGAGUGUGGCCAGAUCAUCUAGUUCUUCAAAAGAAAGUAGAAAUCUAAACAUUUUUUUUUUGGUAAAGACAUCUGAAUUUCAAGUGCUUUUAUUAAAAGAAGCAAAAAGAGGCCUGGCACGGUGGCUCACGUCUGUAAUCCCAGCACUUUGGGAGGCUGAGGUAGACAGAUCACUUGAGGUUGGGAGUUCGAGACCAGCCUGGCCAACAUGGAGAAACCCCGUCUCUACUGAAAAUACAAAAAAAAUUAGCUGGGCAUGGUGGCAGGUGCCUGCAAUCCCAGCCACUCGGGAGGCUGAGGAGCGAGAAUCACUUGAACCCGGGAGGCAGAGGUUGCAGUGAGCUGAGAUCACGCUACUGCACUCCAGCCUGGGUGACAGAGCAAGAACCUGCCUUAAAAGAAGAAGAAAAAAAAAAAAAAAAACACUGGGUGGAUGAAAAAAAAACAUCCCCAAGCCAGGUCCAGCCUGCAGGUCACCAUUUUGCAGCCUUUGGGUGGAAAGCCGGAUUGGACUGCAGCAGCCUAGUACUCAAGGAGAGGGCACGGCAGGGAGAGGAGACAGCAGCGGAAAGGCCUGAGCUGGGACAGUCGAAGAGCUGUGAGCGGCUUGCUAUGGCUGAAACGUAGUUUGAGUGUGACCACAAAACAUGGCAGACUGUGACCACAUUGCAAGGAUCUCGGAGGCUUGGUAAAAGGGUUCUCUUCCCCGGAGAUGUGGCACAGUGUCCGAUCCCCGUGCCUUUCCUCAUACAGUGCCCUCCCCCCUUUCUCCGCAUGUCUACGUUCUGACUCUAGUGCCACUUUUUCCACAGUCUCCCUGGUCCCCCUCCCACCCACCAUCAAGAUGGGAUCUCUCCCUCCUGGGAGCACCUACUGCACUUUGCUUUCAUUCAUUCAUUUUUUAAAAUUAAUUAAUUAAUUGGUUUAUUUAUUUUGAGAUGGAGUCUCACUCUGUUGCUCAGGCUGGAGUGCAACGUCACGAUCUCGGCUCACUGCAAACUCCGCCUCCCGGGUUCAAGCAAUUCUCCUGCCUCAGCCUCCCAAGUACCUGGGAUUAUAGGCAUGCGUCACCACACCCAGCUCGU